CCCGGAGAAGAGCAAGAGGAAAUCGAGUCAUUUCUGGGCAUGCUAAAAUCCCCCACCGCUUUGCGUCAUCCGCCACGGCUGUUUGAGGUGUCUCCUUCCCCUCCUUGGCUUCCAUUCCCAGCUCUCUGCUGGAGGUUCACAAAAGCAUAAUCGUUGGAGGAUUAAGAGUAUCCGCAGCCAGGGAAAAUGUGUUUCUUCCUGAGGUGAGUUGAAUUUGCAGGGGUUGAUGUCUCAUUUUGCUCACCUUGUGGCGUGGCCUCUCCUUUACAGACCAGCCCUGUCCAGAAUUCCUUGCUCCCCACUACAGUUCUUCAUAACCUCCUGCCCCCACUCUUUCUUUCUGGUUUUGUUUGUUCUCUCAGACCAAGAAGCAUGUACCUCACUUUUGUAGAGGUGUAACUCCCCCGGGGAAGUGGUACCUGUGCUUGGUAACAACAGAUCUUGUACUUAGGGUUUUGACCCAAAGAGAGGAGUCCACCUCACUUUUUCAGAGCACAGAGCAUUAUCUUCUGGAAUCUGUUCAAAGCUACUUGAUAGAAAGUAAAGAGCCUUUCUAGAAGGAGAAGCCACAGGAAAUCAAAUGUUCUUAGCACCUCACCUCUGAAGUGCUUAUGCCCCAACACUUGCCUUGUGCCCCAGCAAAGCAACCCUUCUACACUCAGAGCAGAGACAUAAAGUGAUGAGCUUAGGGUUUCUUCCAUUAGCCAUAAAAGUUGGACCUCUAACACAGGAGCCUUGACCUUGGGCCCCGCCUGUGUGCAUCCUUUAAAAGAGGGGGUGUCCUUAGGUGACUAGAUUCCUUGUUGGGGCCCAUGACUAGAUCCUUCCUCACACAUUCUGAACCCUGUUUAAUUCCUUUGGACUCUUGCAUCUCUGGAGGAGACAAGCAUUCUCCUUGCAGUGCGCCCUGUAGGAAGGCUUCCAGUCGGUCCAGCUUUAUAGAUCACAAAUCUGAAAGCAGGUUGAUUGCAAGGCCUUGUCCAAGGAGAGAAUGGACUGACUCAUGGUACCUGGACAGAUUCCAGAGUGAGAUGCAGUGCCCUCUCCAGCUGCUGGCAGAGCACUCCCUCUCCUGCUUGGACAGCUCUGAGUGUGCAAGUGUCCAGCUGGCCGUCUGGAGAUAGCCAGGAUCCACUUGCCACCAGAGCGGUUGGGUUUAUAUCCUGUCUUCUCAUCUGAUGGAGGAAUUCCUUCUCAACUGAUAAACCAUUCUGCCUGGUGUGAGGGAGGUUAACGGGAGAGGUAGUUAUUGGAGUGCCAGGGAGCCCUGUAGAAUUCAAGGACUCUGAGAAAGAGGGAAUCAGUAUCUAAUGGCUUUCCCAGCAUUUCCAGGGGUUUGAGCACUUGUGGGGGUGCAGCAGCAUGAUGGGUGGGUAGGGCCUCCAAAGGCCUUAGUUCUAGGACUACCUCUAUGAUGUACCACCGUGUGACCUGGGCUAAGUUCCUUAACCUUCCUGAGCCCCUUUGCCCUCAUCUGGCAGUGAAGGAUAAAAGCUACUUGGUCUAUCAAACGGGGUU